GACACAUUUUACUUUCCCAUAUAUUCUAAGGUUGCUGUUGUUUUUUCUUCUAAGUUAAUAUGUUUUGGCCUAUAUUUCUGUAAUGUUCACGAUUAACAUAUCAAUUGCCUAUUGCUUUCAUCACCUGUAAUACCUUCUUUGAGGAUAUCUACUAAGCACCUAUUUUCCAGUUUUUGGCCUUGCCUAUUUGUUUCACUAGUAUAGGCGUAGUAUUGAUGUCAAAUUCUUUUCUGCAGUUUAAUGUUUGGACCAGAUAUAUGUGGCACACAAACAAAGAAGCUGCACGUCAUACUCUCAUACCAGGACCAAAAUUAUCCGUUAAAGAAGGAUUUAGAAUGUGAAACUGACAAAUUGACUCAUUUCUACGCAUUUAUUCUAAGGCCUGAUGCAAGUUAUA
rnacentral:misc_RNA from 1 species